AGUGGUAGCCUAGCUACACUUAUCUGAUCAGGGACAAGUGAUAAGUGAUCAUAAGUAAGACCAUAGUUAUACUAUGGCAAAGUGGAAGUGAAUUACUCAAUUUUCCGUAACCGUUCCCUAAUUUGUUUAAGGAUUGUAAAUGACAAAUGGGCCCAAAAGAAUUAAAGCAAAUGGAUAAGUGGUAGUGUAUUUAUACCUGGAUGAUGUUGUUAUUUAAGCUAAAGUGAUAUUUUC
rnacentral:lncRNA from 1 species